ACUGGGAUGGAACAUACUUGCCAGAAAAAGGAAAGUGUGCAUACAGUGUCAUCCAAGUUGAGUUUUCCUUUUAAGAUGAAGAAAAGGGCCCUGACGUUGUCUGGAAAUGCGGCCGUGAGAGAGGGGGUGAGCAUCGCUGCCCGGCUCCCUGCCCCUUUCCAGACGCAGCGCAUCUGAAGGAGGGUGGGGAAUGAAAGCCCAGCGCACCUGCGCUGCCUUCACUCUAUUCUUGCACUACCGGCUGCUUAAUGAGAGAGACUACACUUACCCGAAGCCUGUGUUACAUUCACCUCUCCCACGUAAUUCUGAUGAAAAUGACAAAUAACUGGGUUUCUCUUGGUUGCCGGGGCGCAGCAGCUUCAGUAUGUA